UACGUAGGGUGCAAGCGUUGUCCGGAAUUAUUGGGCGUAAAGAGCUCGUAGGCGGUCAGUCGCGUCUGCUGUGAAAACUCGGGGCUUAACUCCGGGCCUGCAGUGGGUACGGGCUGACUAGAGUGCGGUAGGGGAGACUGGAAUUCCUGGUGUAGCGGUGAAAUGCGCAGAUAUCAGGAAGAACACCCGUGGCGAAGGCGGCUCUCUGGGACGUGACUGACGCUGAGACGCGAAAGCGUGGGGAGCGAACAGG
rnacentral:rRNA from 1 species